AAAUCCUAGAUCCUAAAAUCCAAAACCCUAAAUCCUAAAAUCCUAAAACCUAGACCCUAAACACUAAACCCAAAGCCCUAAACCCUAAAAUCCUAAACCCUAAACCCUUAACCCUAACCACUAAAACUUAAAACCCCAAACCCUAAACCCAAGAUGCUAAACCCAAAAUCCCAAACCCUAAACCCUAAAUUCUAAAAUCCUAAACCCUAGAACCCCAAACCCUAAAUCCUAAACACAAAACCCUAAACCCUA
rnacentral:lncRNA from 1 species